UAUCCCCAUUCCUUGUAGACAUGGUAGAAGAGGAGCUUCCUCUGAUCUGGGAGUAUCCCCAUUCCUUGUAGACAUGGUAGAAGAGGAGCUUCCUCUGCUUUUAAUUUAACUGGAGGCUUGCCAAAUAAAAUGUAGACCCUGAAGAGAUAUUGUAGGUUUAGCUAAGCAACAAAUGGAACCCUAUUCCCUAUAUAGCGCACUACUAUUGACCAGAGCUCUAUGUCAAAAGUUGCGCACUAUAUAGGGAAUAGGGCUCUGGUCUAUAGUAGUGCACUAUAUAGCGAAUAGGGCUCUGGUCUAUAGUAGUGCACUAUAUAGGGCAGAGGGCUCCAUUUCAGACGCUGCCAUAGUCUUCAGUGUGCAGGUUGCUCUCCAGUUCAGUGGUUGGCUCACUGUCUCUAGAACAUAAAGGCUAUGAGAUGUUUUAAGACCUCACCAAAAUAAAGACACGUCUUGUUAUUAAAGUACACAAAAAGAAAAAUAAUAACUCUCUGAUGUCCUACUGUACCCAUAACAACGUAAUCAUUCUAAAGGCUGAGUGUUAAAAGUAUUAGGAAUACGAUGUGCCAAACAAAUUGUGACCAAGGGAGAAUGGUUCAGCCUGAAAUGUACUGCACAGGGCAUCUUUAACUGGGGAGCCUAAUGCUUCGGUCUCUUUCACUGUCCUGUUUCACUGUCUCUGUGUUGCAGUGUGUUUCAGCUUGGUAUUUCUGUGAUCACACCCCUCUCCAACACAUUCCUACUACGGGCUAGGUUCACGUUGAUAUGCAGUUGACAUGGAUUAAUCUUGAAAUCCAUGAGCCUGAAUCUAGAUUCUAACAGUCUGCAUCUUGUCAAAAAGUCUGAAGACACUCAAUCUCACCCUACCCACUAACCCAGUCACCCUACCCAAUAACCCAGUCACCCUACCCAAUAACCCAGUCACCCUACCCACUAACCCAGUCACCCUACCCAAUAACCCAGUCACCCUACCCAAUAACCCAGUUAGUUACCCUACCCACUAACCCAGUUAGUUACCCUACCCAAUAACCCAGUUAGUUACCCUACCCACUAACCCAGUUACCCUACCCACUAACCCAGUUAGUUACCCUACCCACUAACCCAGUCACCCUACCCACUAACCCAGUCACCCUACCCAAUAACCCAGUCACCCUACCCACUAACCCAGUCACCCUACCCAAUAACCCAGUCACCCUACCCACUAACCCAGUUAGUUACCCUACCCAAUAACCCAGUUAGUUACCCUACCCACUAACCCAGUCACCCUACCCAAUAACCCAGUUAGUUACCCUACCCACUAACCCAGUUAGUUACCCUACCCACUAACCCAGUUAGUUACCCUACCCAAUAACCCAGUUAGUUACCCUACCCACUAACCCUGUUACCCUACCCACUAACCCAGUUAGUUACCCUACCCACUAACCCAGUCACCCUACCCAAUAACCCAGUUAGUUACCCUACCCACUAACCCAGUCACCCUACCCAAUAACCCAGUUAGUUACCCUACCCACUAACCCAGUUAGUUACCCUACCCACUAACCCAGUUAGUUACCCUACCCAAUAACCCAGUUAGUUACCCUACCCACUAACCCUGUUACCCUACCCACUAACCCAGUUAGUUACCCUACCCACUAACCCAGUCACCCUACCCAAUAACCCAGUUAGUUACCCUACCCACUAACCCAGUUAGUUACCCUACCCACUAACCCAGUUAGUUACCCUACCCAAUAACCCAGUUAGUUACCCUACCCACUAACCCAGUUAGUUACCCUACCCACUAACCCAGUUAGUUACCCUACCCAAUAACCCAGUUAGUUACCCUACCCACUAACCCUGUUACCCUACCCACUAACCCAGUUAGUUACCCUACCCACUAACCCUGUUACCCUACCCACUAACCCAGUUAGUUACCCUACCCAAUAACCCAGUCACCCUACCCAAUAAUUAUUUUCUGUAGAUGCAUCUCAAUCCAUGUCACACUUCCACAUCUCACAAAUACAUACAUGUAGGUUGUUUUGCUCUAAGACGCCCAUUGUCCUCACAAGACUCAUCUGAUGGUCCCUGGUACCAGUUGAAAACAUUUAUGGAAGUCUAUAUGGAGACUGUUUAGUGCUAAAAAAAAUGGUUAAGUACAUGUAAAAUCAAAUAAAAAUGUUUCCUGAUCUUUCUUAUAUCUCUCAGAUUUAUGACAGACACAAACUUCCUUUAGAUUAUUUUGGGGGAGACUAUCUGUUGUUCCAUAUAGUGAAUCUGUUAUUCAAUGUGUUUGUAUGGGCCAUUAGCAGUAAGGCCCAAAAUAUGUUUUUUUACGUAUAUUUCUGGAAUCCUUCAAGGGGUCUUAAAAUAUAAAAUACAAUAGCUAAUUGAUCCUUUGUAUGACCUUCUUAAACAAUUCCUUAUAGCUUAGUAGAACCCCCCCCUCCCCUGGCUUUAGACUCUAGGUUAAUCAACGUUUCAGUAAAAGUGACGGUUUUAGCCAACCGGCUCAUUUUCAACUGCAUUGUCUGGGCAAGUUAUUCAAAACAACUCCAAUAAAAAUACAAACAAACAAGGAACAGUCUUGUGCAGUCGGCUGUUGUUUUGUUGUGUCCUAUGUCGAGUCUUUUUCUUCAAGAUUGAACCCACAAUAAUUCUAUCAUUCUGUAAGGUGAUGCCCGUCCACCCCCACACCAUCACACAACACAUCGCAACCAUCACACAACACAUCGCAACCAUUACACAACACAUCACAACAUCACACAACACAUCGCAACCAUCACACAACACAUCACAACCAUCACACAACACAUCACAACCAUCACACAACACAUCGCAACCAUCACACAACACAUCGCAACCAUCACACAACACAUCGCAACCAUCACACAACACAUCGCAACCAUCACACAACACAUCACAACCACCACACAACACAUUGCAACCAUCACACAACACAUCACAACAUCACACAACACAUCACAACCAUCACACAACACAUUGCAACCACCACACAACACAUCGCAACCAUCACACAACACAUCGCAACAUCACACAACACAUCACAACAUCACACAACACAUCACAACCAUCACACAACACAUCGCAACCAUCACACAACAUAUCACAACCAUCACACAACACAUCGCAACCAUCACACAACACAUCACAACCAUCACA
ensembl:lncRNA